rnacentral:lncRNA from 1 species
AGAACCACCGCCAGGUACACAAGUCACUGGACAAGGUGGGAAGGCAUCUUACUCAAUCAAUGGACCUUAUUCUAAAGCGGGAAGGGCACUGAGAGUAUAGGGAGGGUAUCUCUCAAAUGAGGAGUCUACGACCUGCUUCAGGGGAAGGCCAACAACUUCUUGGAUUUUAUGACCUGCUUCAGGGGAGAAGGACAAGGGAAGUACAGCGCCUACAACAAUGCAAAGGCUAGAAGGAAUGAAGGCAGGGACAUGGAAUGGAGAAUUUCCAUUUCACGGAUCCACAUAAACUGAAAAGGAACAAGAGUCGGUGAGACCAAAGAGCACUGAAGGCCAUGAACCACCACCAUUCUCAACCCCUGGGCCAGGCAAGAAAAGCCACGGUUCCUGGAAGGGAUGACGACAGGCUUACUGAAUUAUUUUCAUCCAUGCCCUUUUAAAAUAUGGUUGGUAGAAAUUUGCCAUUUGAGACUAGAAUCCCAUUCGGAAUCAUGUAAGUCUCUUUUGACUCCACGAGGACAUCUUUCACCCAGUUUUGGGAAAUCUGAGGAAUGGAUUCUUCUACAGACUGAUAAAAUAUCACAAGGUCCAAGAGUUUGUGUGAGAAAGAGGACAUCAAGUGAUGGAUGUGAACGUGGUAGACAUACAAUGGAAGGCAAGAAGGUAUCUCAACACAGCAGAACAAGACCCCAUGAGGAGCCCAGAAAAAAAAUAAAGAAGGUUCCUCACUGGUUAGGAAUUCAAAAGCAGUCCUGGCAACCUCAUAGCAUCUUUACCUCAGAAGCAGGCAGCUCUGGUUACUCCACCAUUUUCAGGAACAAGGUUUUUCUCUCCCCCUCUGCUGCAUUUCCUCUGCGGCUCCUGAUCCAUCUGCCUCUACCUUCUUCCUAGCAUCAAAUUUCCUCCCAGGAGACAACAUGAAUGGGUUAAGAAGUACCCAAUGAGGGCUGCUCCAACUGGACAGCAUCUUUGAAACUGGGACCUCACAGAUGGUCAUCACAGGCCCCUGAUGCCUGGGUACCCAGCGACCAACCCCAGUCUAGUCUGUCUAUAGCAACAUAGGUGAAGGGGAGUCUCAGGGGCUGCCUAAAGGGCUCAGAAUGUGGUGAGUACUUAAGACUGCAUGGAUUUUCACUGUUUACAUGAAUAUAGGACAAGUAUUCACAGAACUAUUAGCUAGAUCUGUGAACAAAACAUUAAUAACAUUGUAUGUCCAUGUCUGAACCCCUGAAAUUCCAACAACCACCACCCGCCUACCAACUUGCAGCAAACCGGCUCUCUCCACAGUCUUCCCCAGAUCAGGGAGAAACAAUUCCAUCCUUCCAGUACUCAGACUGUAAAACUGGAUUCAUUCUGAUUCCUCUCUCACACAUCCCACACCUGAUCUGACAGGAAAUCCUAUAAACUCUGCCAUUAAAAUAUAUCCAGAAACAGGCCAGGCACAAUGGCUCAUGCCUCUAAUCCCAGCACUUUGGGAGGUCGAGGCGGGCGGAUCAUGAGGUCAGGAGUUCGAGACCAGCUUGGCCUACAUGGCAAAACCCUGUCUCUACUAAAAAUACAAAAAUUAGCUAGGUGUGGUGAUGCACACCUGUAAUCCCAGCUACUUGGGAGGCUGAGCUAGGAGAAUCACUUGAACCCGGGAGGCACAGGCUGCAGUAAGCCAAGAUCGUGCCACUGCACUCCAGCCUGGGCGACAGAGUAAGACUCUGUCUCAAAAAAAAAAAAUAUAUAUAUAUAUAUAUAUAUGUCCAGUAAUGUGCAACUUUCACAGUCUCCACCAGGAUCAUCACAGUCUAACCACUGCUUCCUCCAGCCUGAACUUACUGCAAGAGGCCACUCACUGGUCUCCAGGCAUCCACUCUUGCUUCCCCCACGCACCCCACCACCAGUGUCUAUUCUCAACAGAGCAGCCAAAAUUGUCCUUUUAAACAUUGGUUGGAUUGUGUCUUCUGUCUGUUCAAAACUCUCCAGUAUGUCCACAUGGAUCUCAAAAUAAAACCAAAGUUCUGGCCAGGCACAGUGGUUCGUGUCUGUAAUCCCAGCACUUUGGGAGGCUGAGAAGGGAGGGUGGCUGGAGCCCAGGAAUUCAAGACCAGCCUGGGCAACAUGGCAAAACCCCAUCUCUCCAAAAAAUACAGAAAUUUG